rnacentral:sRNA from 1 species
GCCAGCGAAGUCCUAGAGGCGGUCUCCAAAGAGCACGUCUCUCUGCUAUCUUGGUCUGGCGGGAGGCCUUGAGAGGCGACUGGCAAGGAGAGAGAACUCCUGGGUCCCAUUUAGCCAGGAAGUAGCACCAGAGGACCCCCACAUUCCCGCCUCCCAGCUUCCUGAGGGGCUGAGCUAUUCCCUGGACUCUGGGGCCCACUCCAGAGAGCGUGGGCCAGCCCGAGGAGGCAAGCCCGGAGGAGCAGCCAGAGGAGGCGAGUGCUGAGGAGGAGCGGCUGGAGGACCAGGAGGAGGAGGAGGCGGCGGCCGCCGCGUACCUGGACGAGCUGCCCGAGCCGCUGCUGCUGCGCGUGCUGGCCGCACUGCCGGCCGCCGAGCUGGUGCAGGCCUGCCGCCUGGUGUGCCUGCGCUGGAAGGAGCUGGUGGACGGCGCCCCGCUGUGGCUGCUCAAGUGCCAGCAGGAGGGGCUGGUGCCCGAGGGCGGCGUGGAGGAGGAGCGCGACCACUGGCAGCAGUUCUACUUCCUGAGCAAGCGGCGCCGCAACCUUCUGCGUAACCCGUGUGGGGAAGAGGACUUGGAAGGCUGGUGUGACGUGGAGCAUGGUGGGGACGGCUGGAGGGUGGAGGAGCUGCCUGGAGACAGUGGGGUGGAGUUCACCCACGAUGAGAGCGUCAAGAAGUACUUCGCCUCCUCCUUUGAGUAAGGAGAAGGGGGUGGAGGAGGUGGGAAGGGGGGAGUGUUCGCUCUGUCCUAACUCCAGUUCUCCCAGG